UACAGAGGUCUCAAGCGUUGUUCGGAUUCAUUGGGCGUAAAGGGUGUGUAGGCGGCUUUUUAAGUCAGGGGUGAAAUCCUGGAGCUCAACUCCAGAACUGCCUUUGAUACUGGGAAGCUUGAGUCCGGAAGAGGUGAGUGGAACUCCGAGUGUAGAGGUGAAAUUCGUAGAUAUUCGGAAGAACACCAGUGGCGAAGGCGGCUCACUGGUCCGGUACUGACGCUGAGGUGCGAAAGCGUGGGGAGCAAACAGG
rnacentral:rRNA from 1 species